rnacentral:rRNA from 1 species
UGGGGAAUAUUGCACAAUUGGCGCAAGCUUGAUGCAGCCAUGCCGCGUGUAUGAAGAAGGCCUUCGGGUUGUAAAGUACUUUCAGCGGGGAGGAAGGGAGUAAAGUUAAUACCUUUGCUCAUUGACGUUACCCGCAGAAGAAGCACCGGUUAACUCCGUUCCAGCAGGCGCGGUAAUACGGAGGGUGCAAGCGUUAAUCGGAAUUACUGGGCGUAAAGCGCACGCAGGCGGUUUGUUAAGUCAGAUGUGCAAUCCCCGGGCUCAACCUGGAAACUGAAUCCGAUACUGGCAAGCUUGCGUCUCGUAGAGGGGGGUAGAAUUCCAGGUGUAGCGGUGAAAUGCGUAGAGAUCUGGAGGAAUACCGGUAGCGAAGGCGGCCCCCUGCACGAAGACUGACGCUAAGGUGCGAAAGCGUGGGGAGCAAACAGG